rnacentral:lncRNA from 1 species
GGUUAGUCAAUUUAACUGGUAUCUAGAAAAAUGGUUCAGGGAUAAGAUCCUGAAGGAUGGUGGUUAUUUAAUUGGUUCCAUUCGCUUAUCUAGCUAAUUUUAAUUGACAUCUAAGAAAAGCAAUGGGGGGAUCCCCAUCAACUUUACACUUAUUUGAUCAGUUGAGUGGCUAAUCUUUUACUUGGAGUGCUCAAAGGCAA